rnacentral:sRNA from 1 species
GCCUAGCCCCGAUUGAAGUGGAAAUCCUUUUGUGCCGGGGUUCGGCACAAAAGAUUGUAACGAAAAGCGGGAAUAGCU